rnacentral:rRNA from 1 species
UACCAGCACCCCGAGUGGUCGGGACGAUUAUUGGGCCUAAAGCAUCCGUAGCCGGUCUUGCAAGUCUUCCGUUAAAUCCACCUGCUUAACAGAUGGGCUGCGGAAGAUACUACAAGACUAGGAGGCGGGAGAGGCAAGCGGUACUCAGUGGGUAGGGGUAAAAUCCUCUGAUCCAUUGAAGACCACCAGUGGCGAAGGCGGCUUGCCAGAACGCGCUCGACGGUGAGGGAUGAAAGCUGGGGGGAGCAAACCGG